GCAGUUGGAAUGAAGGCUAUUGUCUAAAUCCUCCUGCAGAGCACCUGAUAAAAGAAUAAAGAACUAUGACAUAUUCUAAAAACAAUAGAGGAAUUAAGGGGAGACAAUAGGCCAGCUGCCUCAUUAAAACAAUCAAAAACGGCAUCCUGUACGUAGUCCAGAUAAUUAAAAACCACUGCUUCCUACAGUCUCUCAAUACCAUAUCCACCAGCUCACUGAGGCCCUGAGACUAUGGCUCUGCUGGCUAAAUGCCCUCUUCCCUCUCUUCUCUUUGAUUAGUGGUUUAUUUGAACAUGCAGUUGAAGAUGAACAUAUAAAGGAAUUCAUGAAACAAAAUUAUAAUGCAAACCCUUUCCCCCUCUAUAAGUACUCAUAAACUAAUCAAACGUCUCAGGAUGAAUCGCAGGCACUGGGGGCGUGUGUGCCCUCCCCUUUGCCUAAAGCCCUGAGAGAUUUCAAAGUGCAGGCAUCACAGGGCAUUUUUUUAAUUUCCUCACUUUAAAUGACUUUAUAAGAAAACGGAUGUGUACAGUAUCUGCGUACGUAUGGGGGAGGCUGGGAGAAUAGAGUACGAGAUACUUGAGCAGGAAUUUUUUUUUUGCUCCCUGCAAACCGCUACCACCACCACCAUAUCUUAAUGAAGCUGCAAACAAAUCUCUCAUGCCUCGUGCAAAAGCUGAGAGACAACAAAGCAGCAGAAAUAACAGAAGGGCCCGGAUAAUUAAACUGGCCUGAAGACAGGUAUUCAAAUGUUGGUGUGUAAACAGCACAACUCUUUAAUAGUUUAGCUGUAAAAUGCGUAGUUAAGCACAUCAGCACUUGCCUCUCCCAUCUGUCCAAACACAUUACCGUUGCAGAGGCCAUUACAGCACUGGAGUACAGUCCCACUGCACCGCAGCCACAUAUUAUGGGAGGGGUUGAAUGGGGCUUCUGGGAACACUAACAGCGGCCCAUUGGCAUUAUCUGAAUGCAUCAUGGGGUCAUGUAUUAUAAAGCACCACUGUGCUGUUUGAGAAAUGGGGGAGCCUGAGAACAAGAUCCAGCAGGUGUACUCAUGUGGACGUGCUUGAUGCCCCUUUUAUACAGCUUAAAGAAGAAAUAUUCAAAUACGUGAUACCAGAUUCAAUGAGUAACUAAAAUGUUCCUUUUUCAAGCUGGAUAUUGAUGUAGAGACUUCUUUUUUCCCCUUGGCCCCUUAAAGUUCCCAUCUCUGUCUAUUGGCUCGGUGCUAACUGCUGGUCUUAAUUGUGAAGUGAGGCCAGUGGUGCCUGAAGCCACAGAGAGGGUUGUAAUUAAAGACCUCUACUCUUCUUGUCUUCAAAUCAGCUCCAACUCCUCCUGGUCAAAUGGGAACAAGCUGCACGCACCUACGAAUAUCAAGUAGCUGCUCGCCGCCGCUCCUUUUUCUUUAACAAAGCUUCAUCAGAGGGGAGUGAAUUACAGUAUGACACAAUAAACAACUUCCAGUCAACUUCCCCCAGAUCUUGUGAAAAUAUUAAUCACAGAUCGCGGAUGAAUAAUAUCUGUAUCUGCACCUGACAGCAGACCUGAUGUUGCUGUGACAAACACUAAACAAAUCCUCCUCAUGAAUACUGGUAAAUAUUUGGACUGUUUCUGGAUCAUCAGAGUUGAACACAUUAGGAUGACUCAUGGCUGUCAAACCUGCCAUCACAAUCCUGAGCCGGAGCAAAGCAAGCAGCAGAAAGGAAAACGCUGAGUUAGACCCGAGCGGGAACAUCAUUCACAGGGUCAAACAAGCUUACUAUUAUUGACGGUACACUAAACUAGAAUUAGCUGACUCUACUAUUAUUUCUCUAAGGCUCUGACACAGAUUGACUCUCUCCCUCUCUAUCUCUCUUUCACUCUCUGCUGCCUCCUUCCGCUCAUGUUUCAACUCGGCCACUAGGAGGCACUCUUCUCAUGCUCAAGCUGCAGCCGGUGGAUGUUUAGCUGUGAUGAUGCAGAGACGCCUCAGACAUGGCAGGGCAGCACAUACACCAGUCUGCCUAUACAUCCUUGCAGGUUUGUCCCAUUGAGCACUCUAUUAGCUCUCCUUCUCUGCGGGUAGUGCUGCCUGUGUCCUGGUUGUGGCCAGUCGACAUGUGUUUACUGCGGCCCCCGCUGCGGCGGCAGGCUGGUUGGGGGCCCGUCCUGACCAAGCCCUGCUAAUGGGACCAGAAGACCCCUCGUGACAGGACACCGCAGCAGACCCUACCCCUCCUUCCCCUCCAGCUGCGGCCCCGUGGCCCAUGUCCCCCUACCCAUCAUGCCUCGGCGGGAGCAGGUGAACGGCGUGGGGCCAACGGCGGCGAGCUCGGUUUUCCUGGGAGAGCAGCGCGCCAUCGCCACGCGCCUCAGUGGUUCCUCCAACAUGGCUCCGGCCCUACGCCACAUGGGCUGGCUGGCCGGUCUGUGUGUGUGUGGGUGUAUGUGUGCGUGUGUGUGUGUGUAUUUGGGGGUGUAUGGUGGAUGCCAGCCCUAAUGCAAAUGCUUGCCGUUUAAAAAAUGGGAGCCUCUCUCCUCCUCUGUCUCUCCUCUUUGGAAAGGUCUAUUUUGGCCUUCUGGUGCUGGCAGUUAUUUUUUUCCUCUCCAGAAGGACAGAGAGCCAGAGAGAUGCACCUGUCAUCCAUUUUGGAAUUCAACAUUUAUUGAUCUGGUCAUGAGGAAUGGAAUUUAUGAAGUUAUGUGUUUUUUUCUUUAUGAAUUCCCACUGAUUUAUGUCUUAAAAUGUGCAUUUCUUAUUUGCAAAGGGAGCCUUAUUUACAAGCCUGCUAAUUGGGUAUUCACAGCACAGCAAUAGACAGAAUACAAACACACACACACACACUCUCUUGACACACACACACCAAUCACUGCUGCAACAUCCCAGCAUGCCCUCUGUCUCUGCACCCCUGUAAUUCUACAUAAUGCUUAAAGUAUGUGCUAAUUAAAUUUUCUGUCGGUUUGCAAGAGAAAUAAAUAAUCU